rnacentral:rRNA from 1 species
CCUACGGGUGGCAGCAGUCGAGAAUCAUUCACAAUGGGGGAAACCCUGAUGGUGCGACGCCGCGUGGGGGAAUGAAGGUUUUCGGACUGUAAACCCCAGUCAUGUGGGAGCAAAUGAAAAUGAUAGUACCACAAGAGGAAGAGACGGCUAUCUCUGUGCCAGCAGCCGCGGUAAUACAGAGGGCGCAAGCGUUGUUCGGAUUGACUGGGCGUAAAGUGUGCGUAGGCUGUUGCGUAAGUCUGAAGUGAAAGGCGAGGGCGUAACCCGGGAACGGCAUAGGAUACUGAGAAGCUCGAGUGAAGGAGGGGUAAGCGGAAUUCGUGGUGUAGCAGUGAAAUGCGUAGAUAUCAGGAGGAACACUAGUGGCGAAGGCGGGUUCCUGGACAGUAACUGACGCUGAGGCACGAAGGCCAGGGGAGCGAAAGGGAUUAGAUACCCGGGUAGUC